GUUGCUCAGUUUAAGAAAGAUGUGUUCAAACAUGAAAUCAAAAUUAGAUUCUAAUACAAAUCAUAAAUAAAAGCAAAAUAAUAAGAGAAUACAACAAAUCUGAACCCCAUAGUAACAAUCCUUUUCAUGCGGUAAAACUAAUCGAACACCAAAAUCGAAAUUGAACCUAUAAUCAAGCUCUACCUGAGUAACAAACGAAAACCUAGCUCGCUCUGGUCUUGUGUUCCGGUUUGAAGCUCUGAUCUCGCUCGCUCUGAUUUUGCUCUAGUCUUGCUCCG
rnacentral:lncRNA from 1 species